GCCGCGGUGGCGGAACCGGUAGACGCAAGGGACUUAAAAUCCCUCGAUAGCAAUAUCGUGCGAGUUCGAGUCUCGCCCGCGGCACCA
rnacentral:tRNA from 1 species